GUCAGCCUCUCUGAGGUUCUCUCCAUUGUAUCCUGGUUCUGCCUUAGCGGGAGAGAAAGCACAGCUUCUCAGAGGAGAUUGAAGUUUAAAGGGACAUCUGUUCACAGUGCUCUGCCCCAGGCUGUGCUGAUUCAGAGUGGGCAAUCGUUUAAACACAGGGAAGUAUGACACUUGAACGCUCAGCCCUGAUCAAAGGACAGUCACAGUGACAAGGACAAAUUCACCAUUCUGGCUUCGUUUUUUUUUUUUUUUUAAAUUAGUUUUUGUACAACUCUAUCCUGGACAAUUUGCCAGUAGUGAGCAAAUCCAGAGAUGGCAUAUCCUGUGUUUUAAUACAGGAUUUCUGAGGUGGACAUGAGCAGAUUGGGGCUUCCAAGGAAGCUGGAUUCCCACCCCUCCACCCACAACUCACAAUGCAUGAAGGAAUUGGGAAAGAAGUUGGAUGUAGCUUAGAGCGGGAGUGUUCUAUUAGGGGGAUGGGAGGUGGACUCCACCUCCAGCAUGAAGAAGAAAAGUAAGUUGGGUUAGGAGUAAUGGCUCAUUCCUUAAAAGCACUGGCUGCUCUUGACAGAGGCUGUGGGUUCAAUUCCCAGCAGCCACAUGGCAGCUCACUAUUGUCAGUAACUCCAGUCCCAGGGGAUCUGGUGUCCUUUUCUAAUUUCUUGGGGCACUGACCACAGAUGGUGCAUGGAAUAGACACACAUGUAGGUGAAACACUCAUAGACAUACAGUUAAAAAAAGGAAAACCCUUAAUAGAAAAAUCUUAGCUUGUUCCCUGCUGUGAUGGUUGUUCUUGGUUGUCAACUUGAACACAUCUGGAAUUAACUGAAACCCAAAUGGCUGGGCACACCUGUGAGGGCAUUUUUUGUUUUGUUUUGUUUGUUUGUUUUUUUCCUUGAUAAAAUCAUUUGAAGUGGGAAGACUCACCUUUAAUCUGGAUCUUUGAGUUAGGAAGAUGUAUCUUUAGCUCGGAUCCUUUGAGGUGGGAAGAGCUACCUUUAAUCCGGGCCACACCUUCUGCUGGCAGUCUGUGUACACAUUAGGAAGUUUGCUCUCUCUCCCUGCCUGCCUGCUCUCACCAGCAAGUUCCUGUUUUCACUGGCAUCAGGGCCAACUUCCUAGUGAUUCCAAAGUAUUCUGAAGGUCAGCUGAGACAUCCAGCCUUAUGGAGUACUAGAUGGCAGACAGCCAUUGUUGGACUAGCGGGACCACAGUAUGUAAGCCAUUUUAUGUAAUCCCCUUUUUCUUCCCAUGCAUAGACUCAUUCUAUAAGUUUUGUUUCUCUAGCAAACCCUGAUUAAUACAUGUCACCAUGGAAACCGUGCUUGGUGUGUAAAGGAUAGGGCUUCAGAGGGGGUCAGGCCUCUGAUGGAUUCUAUGCCUUUGCUGCUCUCUGGGGAAGAUACACUGGGCUUAGAGACCUUUCUUAAUGACUGUUCUAUUGCUGUGAAAAGACACCAUGACCAAGGCAACUCUUAUAAAAGAAAGCACUUAAUUGGGGACUUGGGGUCUUGCUUAUAGUCUCAGAGGACUAGUCUAUAAAUAUCAUAGUAGAGAGUUGAGAACUUUAAAUUCUGUUCUGUAGGCAGUAAGUGAGGGGGUGGGGCAUCGAGCCUAGUGUGGGCUUUUGAAACCCCAUAGACAUACUUCUGCCAGCAAGGACUCACCUACUCCAACAAAGCCACACCUCCUAAUCCUUCUAAUCCUUUUCAAACAGUUCCACUAAGGACCAAACAAACAUUUGUGCCUAUGGGGGCCAUUCUCACCCAAACCAUCAUAGGGCCCAUUAUGUACAGAUACGAACCUUGAUGGGACACCCUGAGCCCUCCAAAUUCACCAAGAAACUUGUGGUAUCUCCUGAUUAGAGGGAAUGGAAAAUCGGUGGGAGAGAGGGUGGAGGUGUCUGUUCAGCUUUAAGAACAUUUCUAGACCAUGUCAGAUAGUCUGUGACAAUAUUACAGAUGCCUGCUGGGACAUGUGCAGGUUGUGGGAAGUGAUCAGAGGCAGGCUGUCAUUGCAAUGUGCUAGAAAAUGUGGGGGACAUGGUAGAUUCCCAGGGGCUUCUGGCCUGCAACCAUUCUGUAUUUUCGAGGCAAUCCAAAGGAAUUAGGAAAUACUCCAAGCUGAGCCCUAUUUGGCUUGGGAGCAAAAUACCAAGCAUCAGGGUCACUGGGAAGUCCCUCAGCGAUGGGCAAUGUCUGUGCAGCAUACCUGCUCAACAUCGGACGUCCCCAGAGUCCAGGCAUAUUGGCCACGAGGACUAGAAGGGAUGGUAGAGUCAUAGAACCACAUGGUCCUGACUCUAUCCUGAGUUCAAAGAGAAGCCUCAGGAGGGGGAGAUGCUGGACAUUUGAACUGGAGCCAGCUCAAAGAUCACAUGCCUUCCAGUCCAAGAGAGAACAGAGGGCUCAGCUGGUGGACACUGGAGGAAGCUUUAUGACUUAUGUCACUCCCCACUGGGCUAGCCAGGGAACCUGUAAGCGAUCCUGUUGGGAGAUGGGGGGGUGGGGGAGCCCGCUGAACACUGACUGGAGGCUUGCAUCUCCUCAGAGCACGGGAUGCACACACAUCUUUGUGCACUUUCUCCUCCACUGGGCAAGUGCAUGACCGUGAGUCCCUGAAAUGAGUUGUCUCUGGGGAGCGGCCAGCACAGCUGGGCCUCUGCAGUACAGUGACCUUGGCUAGCACAUCCUGUAAGUAGAGCUUCCUCCGCCUGGCUUCCCCCACAUCCCUAUCAUGCAGGGGUAAGGCUCCUGUUCUUUCUCCCACUCUGAGGAGGUUUGGCCUCUUCUAGAAUGUUUGGAAAAAAUGAUACACCAUAUUCUCUGUGAGAGAGAGCUCCCCUCACUGGUGCAAGGUCACUGCGCGUUCCCCUGCAGCUGUCUCCCAUCAUUUAGAACAGAUCGCACACCAUCCCUGCUCCAGUUGGUACAAGCCUGAGGUGCCCUAGUUUGCUUUCUAUUGCUGUGAUAAAGACCACGACCAAAAGCAACCGAGGGAGGAAAGCAUUUAUAUUUGGCUUGCUCGUCCUGAUCUCCAAGGGAAGCCAGGGCAGGAACUCAGUCAGGGUGGCAACCUGGACGGGAACCAAAGCAGAGACCAUGGAGGGACGUUGCUUACUGGCUUCCUUCCAGGCUCACGAUCAGCCAACGUAUACAGUCCAGGUCCAACUGCCCAGGUAUGGCACCCGCCACAGUGGACUAGAAGCUCUCACAUCAAUCAUCAAUCAAUCAAAAAAAAAAAAAAAACCGUCCUGCAGACUUGUGUAGAGGCCACUCUGAUGGAGGGAAUUCAUUAGUUGAGAUUCCUUCUUCUCGGAUACAACUAGGUUUGUGUCAAGUUGACGAACAAAACAAGCAAGCCAACAAACAAACAAACAAAAAGCAAGCAAGCCACAACAAGGACCUAACCCAGCACACGAGACACUUCCCUUCUGGGUGCUCAUCCGGAAGUGGCUGUGAACAUCUUUGUACCUGUCAUUAAUGGAGGUAAAACAGCAAGGCAGCCUGUGGAGACCAAGGACUUUUCAUCGUCCUUCUAGUUCGAGAAGACCAGGGGCAGAGCCUGUGUAGGGUCACAUGACCGUGCUAGGCAGUUAGGAAAGAAGUCUGUUGCUCCUGCUGCCCUCACUCAGCUAGCUGAAGGCUCUUUUGUUCCACUCAUAUAGAAUGCACAGGCUAAGGGACUCAAGUGCUAACCAGUCUGCUGUCCUCAGGAUGGCCAAGCAGCAGGCAGUGGGCACGCGAAGCAGAAGAGCAUGGCGCCCUCUAGCGUUACAGUCUGGUUCAGGCCUCGGGUACCUGAAAAGAUAGCCCUUGACAGUAGCCAGAAUUAACAGUUCGCAUCCUGAGGUCUCUUGGUCCCUAAGACGGGACAGAUCUUUGGAACACUUCUGCUAACUUGGGCCCACAGUGUCUGUUUUCUGGGUCUUUAAGUCAGUUUGUUAUUUUCGUUUAUUUUAUUUUUAUUUUGCAGCUGGGACUUACACAGCCCAGGUUGGCCUUGAAUUUACUAUGAGGUUGACCUUGAACUCCCGGGCCUCUUGCUACCACCUCCCAAGUUCCAGGAUUACAGACUUGGCGAGCACACUCAGCUCCUUCAUUCUCCUUUAGUCAGCUCCACCCUCUUUAGUCUCUCCGGACGCUGUCCUUCCUCCCACCCUGACUUCUUCCCAGUUCAGAAGCUUCUCUUUCAGUUUGGCCUGGUGACUGCUAAGUUGCCGCCACUGCCACUGUUUCCAUUGCUGUCUGCUCUCUGCUUCCAUUUUUGCCUCUAUGUGUUACAAUCUCAACUCUCGUGACAGAAGGCAAAUGAAGGCCACUGGAGAGAAGCCUUUCUGGGUUCCUUGGGAAAGCUGGAUGUCUCUCCAGCAACUCACUGGAUGAGGUUGGUUAUAUAGUCUAAGAAAGACAUUUGGGCCAAUCACAUCCUGCCUCUUAGUCUCAGCAGCCCCUCUGCUAGAUCCCCAAAGGAAGAAGCUCUCUUUGGCCAAAGUGGAAAUAGUGGCAGGGUUACUUAGGACUCUCUCAGGCUGUCCCUUUGGGAGCCAGGGCAAUCCCUGUCAUCUUUUCCUGAAGGUGUCCCUGCAGAUGGCUACCCUGUUGGGUAGCCUGCCUGGCUGCUUGACUUCUAGUCCUUUGGCCAAAGACAGCGGUUACAGCCAGGGAGGGAUGACCAAUUGCUGAUUAGGGAGUCAAAAGCCCUAUCCACAACUCAUUGCUCAUCUGUAGGAAAACGAGCACAGAAGGAGAGCUCACACUAUAAACUUUAAAAACUCACCACUAAUAUGAAUAAGGAUGUUAAGAGCACUUGCAACCUGCCCAGUCAGUGCCCAUGAAUAGUCAGACCCUCUGUCAGCUGCCUCAGUUCUUCCAGGCCCUCUGGUCUUGACUAUCAUGGCUUACGCAGAGUUAGGGUUGCUGACAGUCCUGGGAUUAACUCCAAACUGAGAGGGGUGAACAAAGGAAACAGUUUUAUUCUCAAAUCUCAAGUCAGGUUUGCCUACCCCACUGUGUAGGGAACCCCACAUGAUGGACAUGGGUGCAUCAAGUAGAGGAAGUCUAAUGGCUAUGACUGGAACAAAGUCAGUCUUCCUUCCCCAGAAAGCUUGACUGUGGGUCAUGUGAGGGACAGAGGCAUGGAAGGAGUUUUGCCAACAGUCAAGGUUUUCAGGUUUUCCUGUGUCAGAAGCCACCCAGUUUACUAGCUUUCUAGAAACAUCUCCCAAGACAGGUCCUGCCGAAAUUAUUCCACAUGGUAAAGAUAAGUUGGGAGAGUCACACAUUACUUGGUGACAGCUAGGACCUGCUAGCUGUGCCUCUGGCUAUUCCUGAAAAAGAGAACUUUCCCUCCAGGCACCCAUGUCCCCUGUGAUGCUCCAAUCCCUAAGGGAAAACACAUGAUAAUCUUUAAGCAGGACACAUUCUGCUAGUCACCAUUGUGUUACUGUAACAAAAUGUGUAUGCUAAAGGGAGGGAAGGUUUCUUUGGGCUCAUGGACUCAGUUGUCAUCAAUUAGCCCUGUUGCCCUGGGCACAUCAUGGUGGGGGCACCUCCUGGUGACAAGGAAGCAAAGAGACAAAGUGGUCAGGGCUUUAGUAUCCCUUUCACAGACCCAUGCCAAUGAUCUAGUGCCCUUCUGCUAGGCCUAAAGAUUUCAUCGUUCCCCAGUAGUGUUACAGAUUAGGGAUUUCAACACAUAGACCUAAGAGAGAUAUAUGAACCUUUCCAAAUCACUUACUCAGAUUUACACGGGUCUACAUUGACCAACAUCAUCAGAAAAACAGAAGCCCAGAUCACAGAAGCUUGCAAAGCAGGGAGAACUGAGAGGACAGACAGAACCACUGGGUUGUGCUGUUUUGUUUCCCCCCUGGUUACGGGUGGAGGAUAGGGCUCAGUUGGGAGAGUGCUGGCCUAGUAUGAGCGAAUCCUUGGCAUUAACUCAUGGUGGGAGGUCACAACUUCCCACAGACCAGUGGGAUGGGCAAAAAGUCACAGAGGGAAAAACCUGAAAAUGGACCACACAGUGGAUGCUGAGGCCAUCCCAGAUGUACCCUUCAGAUCUUCCCCCAGGGAAAAGCUUGUAGGUACAAAGGACAGUUAGUGCACAGGCUCCAGUUGUCAAUCUACUACCUCAACCUCUGAGCUGUCACCUUUUCGUAGGAGGAGUCAAGCCAUUCCCACUCCCAUCAGCUGGUGCAGACCUGGCCAGGUGUCCCUCACAGCUGUCUGCUUCCCCGUCCAUGUGGCUGCGCAUGCAUCAGUCCUCCUGCAAAACACUCGGAAGCCCAGGAGAUGUUGCUGGGAAAAUGCAGCGUGCAGUUAAUGGCGAGACCGGGUGUUGCUUAGUAGUCCAUUUUGUGCCUGGUACUUGCAGAGGCAAGAGGAGGAUAGCCAAUGACCUGAAACUGGAGUUACAGCCAGUUGUAAGCUGCCAUGUGGGUGUGGGGAAUUGAACCCUGGUCCUAACUCACGGAGCCAUCUCUUCAGCCCUCUUAUUGCCUCAUUAGUACAUAUUCUCCACAGAAAAAGCAAAUACUGGGACGGAAACAUUUAAAACAUUUGUCACCCUGUGGUUUCAGAACCAGUGUUCCUUUUUCAGUUUUACAUGCAAGAGUAUUGAUUCCCUCAGCCCUCCCCUAGCGCCCUCUCUCUCCUUGUGCGCAUGUGUCAAGUCUCCAUGAGGCUGUGAACUGCUGGGCAUGGAUACCGGGUCCUUUGCAGCUGCUAAGCCAUCUCUCCAGCUCGCCUUUCCUUUAAAAAACAUUGUUUCCUUUAAAAAACAUCUAUUUCUACUACUUUAUCACGUGUCCCUGGUAAAAUCUUGAGACACGAGAACCUGGAAAGUUUGGUGGGUGCCCCUGGGCCUCCGAGGCAGCCGUCCAAAGCAAGGGAGUCAGUCAAGCGAGGUGUGAUCCGGGCUGUUCAUUUGUCUUUCUUCUCUGGACUCUUUGUCUCUUGGGUUCGAGGUUGCUGCUGGGUCCCCAGGGUACUACCACACCCACAGACUUCCCCAUGCCGUCUGCACUCGUUGGCUUGCCUCCUAUCUUCCUUAUCCCUUCCCACAUACACUACAGGUGACAGGAACUCAGAUGCAGCUCCUGGUUCACCAUCUCUGUGAGUGCUGUCACCUACAGGCUCAGAACGCCCCCUCCCGUCUCCUUAAUUCUGAUCCCCACCUUUCUGCCAAAAUACCUGUUUGCUCCUGGUGCAUUAUACCCUAGCUGCCCUCGGUUUCUCCUUAUUCAUUUAGACAGUCCUAUUCCAAGUGUAUGGCAAUAGUUCCCCAGGAGGAAAAAGAAAACACAUUGUCUUGAGCAAUAGAUACAAAGAAAACAGCCUUUCUCACCUGCACUUUCAACCCCAAGGGCGAUUUAAAACAAAAGCAACAAAAGUGAAAACAUAACAAACAAAAAGCCAUUCAACUAUGGAAGCCUCUUCUCUGAAUCUAGUAAAUGCAUUUUUGAGGUGUUGGAAUUUAUGAGAGUGAGAGAGAUCCUAAAUCUUUGCAUAUGGACCAGGUGCAUGCAGUACCCAAGGACACCAGAAGAGGGCGACAGAUUCCCCUGGAACUGGAAUUUCAGGGCCAUGUAGGCCACCUAAUACAGGUGUUGGGAACUGAACCCAGGUUCUCUGGAAGAACGGCAACUGCUCUUAACUCCAGCCCAGGUUUUCUUGGCUGUUUAUUACGUAUUUUUUCAAGUGUCUUAGGCAAGGACCCACCCCCACCCCCACCACACACACACUUUUCACUAAGGUAAAAGAAAUAACUUCAGAGAUGCUCAUGGUCAGGCUGCUGCUAGGAGAGAGACAAGGUUGGCAAUUGUUUUAAACUCCAGCCAGUGAAAGAGUAAGGGCAGAGGAGCUGAGGACUAAAGCUAGUGUCUGCGAUCUCUGUGUGUACACUGAGGCUUGCCUGAGGAGAUGUGGGUUUGAGAGACAGGAAGGAAGGACACUCUAAACCCGACUGGUCUGUUUGAAGACUCUGAGAGUGAAUGAAAGGGACACAUCUCUCCACCCCAGAGACCCUGAUACUUAUUUCUUUUCUUGCUGUCUCUUGGACUAUAUGCUAUGGUACAGCUUCUAAGAUUAAGGUAAGGUUAGCCAGAUAUGGUGGUACACAUCUUUAAUCCCUGCACUCAGAAGGCAGAGAUAGGUGGAUCUCUCUGAGUUUGAUGCCAGCCUGAUCUAUUUAGUGCAUUCCAGGACAGCCAAGGCUAUGUAGAGCCUGCUUUUUUUUUUUUUUUUUUUUUUUUUUUUUUUUUUUUUAAGAAAGAAAGAAAGAAAAAAAAAAGAAAGGUUGAUUCUGAGAAUCCAACAAGUCUUAAAAAGAAAACAGAAGUUGAUACUACUUUUGAUUUUAAUAAAAAUUUAAAUUUAGUAAUGGGUAGACGUGGCCAAAAGAUGGACGCUCAAAGGCUAACACCACCAUGCACCUGAAUCUGGUCUGUAAAAACCAGGAAAGACAGCCUAAAGGGCAUUGUGUACAGGCCCUCACACUCUUUCCCAGGGAACAGGGCUAUGCAAAACAAAGAGUGGGAACUUAGCCUUGUGGUGCACAUGAGGAUUAAGUUUCUAGCUUUGUCAUUACUACACAUAACACAUUCCUCCUGAGGAAAAUGUCUGGGACUCUCAGGGGCAGUUAAGAGUCCACAUUCCCAGGGGUUGGGGAUUUAGCUCAGUGGUAGAGCGCUUGCCUAGGAAGCGCAAGGCCCUGGGUUCGGUCCCCAGCUCCCCAGCUCCGAACAAAAGAACCAAAAAAAAAAAAAAAAAAAAAAAAAAGAGUCCACAUUCCCAAGCCAUGCUGUAAUGGCACAUACCUUUAAUCCUAGCACUUGGGAGGCAGAGGCAGGCAGAUCUCUGAGUUUGAGGCUAGUCUGGUCUACAAAGGGAGUCUAUAUGUCAUUCUAUGUUAAGACAGCAUGCAAUGCCCCUAAAUUUCCCCAGAAUAAUUGAAUAUCAAAAUGUGUGGCCACUUCAGUCUCUUUUUAAAGUUCAAUUUUACUGUGUGGUGACAUUAUUAUUUUUUAUUUUUUGGCAUGCCAAUCUUACAUUUAACAUUUGUAGAUAAAGAAAUCUGGUAUUGUCCAGAGUACUAACAGAAGGAAAUCAUUACUAAGAUCUAUGUAUCUGUAUCUAAUGUUAAUUUUCGAGGUUUGAUGAAAUUUUUAAUCAUAUGACCCCCCGGAGAAUGUUCUUUUGUGUAAACAAUAUUUUAAGGUUUUAUGAAACAUUUAAUAGAUCCAAAGAUAUCAUUUUAGUAGAUUUAAAGAUGGUAAUAGUAUCUCAGUCUAUGAGUAUGUAUUUAUCAGGCCGUUAAAAACAUCCAAAAACAUAUGCGUUAAAACACAUGCACAUGCACAUUUUUGGUCUUUUUCUUUUUUUUUUUCCGGAGCUGGGGACCGAACCCAGGGCCUUGAGCUUGCUAGGCAAGUGCUCUACCACUGAGCUAAAUCCCCACUGCCACGUGUGCAUUUUUAAAGUACACAUGUUAAUGCUGCUGUUUGGGCAUUUGCCCUUCGUGACAAUUAGGAUACUUUAUGUGUGUGAUCUGUGCACUGGUAUACGUACGGGCCACAAUCCGGACGAAGGAACAGCGCCGGGAAAUAAUAGUAAUGUUUCCGUUUCACUACGAUUCCGCAUAUUGUUCUUUCCUCAAAGAAAUGUUUAUUUAUAUAGUUAAUAAAACUGCCGAGCUUUUUCUUGUUUAUCUAGCCGUCCUCUAGGGUGUCGCUCUCUCGGGUUCUCACUUUUUUUUCCUAGGAGGGACAGUAACUGGGAACCAGAGCUGGCGCCCGAGUGCCUGCCAGGUCCCCGACAUCCCGGACCGGCCCUGGUCCCUGUGCCAGCCUGGUCCGCGUCCUCCUUAACUGGCCGUCCUGGUCCCGGUGCCCGCUUGGUCGGCCCUUGUCAUCCCUAACCGGUCUGCUGAUCACCCUCACCCCGGCCUGGCCGCCCCUGGCCCUCCGCGGAGGCGGCCGCCAUCUUACAGGGCGGGGCCCGCGGCCUUGCAGCGGCUGUCAAUAGGGUCCCCGAUCCCACAGUCCCCGGGAGGUCCGGGGUUCACGAACGUCCCUCAGUUCCCCUCCGGCGUCCCCUCUCCCGUGAGUGUUCUCCCAACACUGUGUGCCCCGUAGGUCACCGGCGAGAGACAGAGGAGGAAGAGCCAAACGUUUGUCGCCGAAUGACAGCUUGGCAUCCUUUGGGCCGCCGUUCGGGUCGGAGCCGCGGGAUUCUGAAAUCCUCCUCCGCCUGGGCGCGCGACAACGCUCUAUUCUGGACCUCCGAGCCCAGGAACGAGCCGGUGAAGCGAGGCCUUUAGCGACACAGAGUCACAAGCCUGCUGUGACCUCGUGGCGCAAUGGUAGCGCGUCUGACUCCAGAUCAGAAGGUUGCGUGUUCAAGUCACGUCGGGGUCAAGUUAGGUUUUUUUUCACCGUCAACCACUACAGAAUAGAACUACGAACACCCGAAUGCUGGGGAAAGCGAUGACUUCUGAUGACCGACAGGAGGCGCUGCAGCUACAGUCGAUUCAAGGUUGGACCCAGGGGAAUGUGCGCCCCUGGCUCGCCCCUCGGAUUCCGCCCAUCUCUCCUCCAGUUACCUGGGCUUGUGUGAGCAAUCAACACGGAGCCUUGUGCUUUAUUAUAGAGCUCUCCUUGUUUGCCUUGAACUUCAUUUUCUCAGCUCCCUACUCUAAACGGUUCUUAGACUGAAGAUGACCGUCUGUCCCCUGCAAGUCCAGUACAACCAUUAGAUUUGGAUGUUUGUUUCAUUUUUGUUAAUAGCUUUGUUUUAAAUCUGCCCUCCUCCCCCAAGGGGAAUGUAGAGAAUUAAAGCAGGCUGCACGAAAUUAUAAACACGAAACCCAAA